AUCCUGAUGACGAGUCCCAAAUGGGAUGAAACGUGAGUCCUGGAU
rfam:Schistosoma mansoni strain Puerto Rico chromosome 2, complete genome